rnacentral:sRNA from 1 species
AAUAAAAGGACGAGGCAAACACGAAGAGCUCACAACGAGAUUCAUGCUUUCAGAUUUCAACUGUCACCGGAAGUUGGAAGUUCGUUUGUGAUAGGAUCUAAACAAGUAUCAAAGUCUACAAAUUCUGGAUUAAGCAAGUUAAAGACUUGUGAUUCCCCUGUAUCUUCAACAACCUCGUCUUCCAAAACUUUAUCCAAAGACAUCUGUGGAUAGCCAUAGCAAGCCGCAGUUACAUUAUACAGGAAAGCUGCAAAGAUCUUCCAAGUGAAAAAGGGUAGUGAGUUCUCUGAUUCAUACAUGGAAAGUGUUGUGAAGAACAUAGUUGUGGAUGAAAAAGAAGAGAACCCAAGAGUUGGUCUUAUGGUUAUGCCUGGGUUUUGGAUUGG